rnacentral:rRNA from 1 species
UACAGAGGGUGCAAGCGUUAAUCGGAAUUACUGGGCGUAAAGCGUGCGUAGACGGUCAUGUAAGUCGGGUGUGAAAGCCCCGGGCUCAACCUGGGAAUUGCAUUCGAGACUGCAUGGCUAGGGUGCGGAAGAGGGAAGCGGAAUUUCCGGUGUAGCGGUGAAAUGCGUAGAUAUCGGAAGGAACACCAGUGGCGAAGGCGGCUCUCUGGGACGGUACUGACGCUGAGACGCGAAAGCGUGGGGAGCGAACAGG